AACUUUGCACAGUGGCAGUAUCGUAGCCAAUAAGGUUUAUCCUAGGCGUGAUUAUUUCUAAUAGAAAAUGUCAUUAUUUUGUUGUUUUCACUUCUGUGGUGCAGCUAUUUUACUUGCUGCUUACCUGUGUAA
ensembl:snRNA U4 U4 spliceosomal RNA